AUACUCACUUUGGCAGCACAUCUACUAAAAUUGGAACAAAACAGAGAAGAUUAGCAUGGCCCUGUGCAAGGAUGACUCGCAGAUUCAUGAAGCAUUCCAUAUUUUU
rnacentral:snRNA from 1 species